AGGAAUUUUUUUCUUUCGGACGCGGGCUCGGCUCACCUCGCUCCGUCCGCCACUGCAGAAGGAGCUUCACCAGCGCAGGCCAUGAGACGCUUUCUGCCGAGCUCUGUGGCGGCGUCGUGUGCGGGGCGCGUCCUGCAAUACGCCGCUGAAUGGUACCACAUGCCGGGCUGGAAAACGCAAUCCAGCACGAAGGAUGCCCGGUCGCGUGAACAACGCGAUAGGGACCGGAAGGCGCGUCAAAUCGAGAAGCUGCCCCGCCCAGAGGCACUGCACGACUUUCAAUACCCGUAUGAGAAAACGAUUCUGUCGGACAGCAUGUUCGAGUACCCUGUGUAUGAGACGGAGCUCGACACACCGCAUCUCUUCAACUUGACCCCGCCGCCGGAUUUUUUCAUUUACUGGAACGCUACCGAUUUCGAGCGAACGGCCUACCCGCCGGUUCCCGAAGACGACCACCGCGUGCUCGUGCCAUCGUCGCAGUCGCCACGCUGGAUCGAGCAUCGCGCCUGCCUGCUGCGGUACCUGCGCAAGCACGAGAUCAUGCCGCACUACGUCCCGCAUAUCCACGCCAACGUGAACCUCUCUGUUGUCUUUCCAGGUCAGUACAACACACGUGCACGGCUCACGGACGAGAACGGGGACAAGAUUCCGCCGCCGCCGGCGCAGACGAAGAUGACGCCGCGCAAUUUUUGGUUCACGGCGCAUUGCGGCAACUACAUGGAGCUGACAGACGUUCAGCAACCACCGAGCGUCUUCCUUUUUGAGGAAGCGCCUGCCGCCGCGAGCGCAGCUAGCAAUGCUGGAGAAGCAGCUGAUGCGACUCGCAAGCAGUCUUCACACGCGGCUGUGAACUACUACACGUUUAUCAUGCUUUCCCCUGACUACCCGUAUCGCGUGCCACUCUCGCACGAUCGGCAGAGGGCUGAUCGUGGCUUUUUCCUUAACUACAUGGUAGCUAAUCUGAGAGCUCCGCAAGCGUUUCCCACGGUGGACGGCGCGGUCGUGGACACGGAGGGUCUGCAUAGCAAGGGGGACGUUGUUGUCCCCUACGUUGCCCCGCUGCCCACCGAGGACGCAGGAACGACGCGGCAUCUGUGCCUUCUCUUCAAGCAAACCAACCACGUGCCACACGUGAAGCCGAUGACAGCCACCGAGGAGCAGCGGGACUUCCCCCUAGCUCAGCGCAGCAAUUACCGCCUGCACAGUGCUCUCACGAAGCAGUCCGGGCUGAAGGUGCUACCAAGCGCUUCAGCGGCCUGCUUAGCCAGCCUGCGCGCCGUCGAGGGGGCGAUCCCGGCAGACCCUUGCGCCGUUACCUUCUUCACCACCAAGUGGGACAUUCAGGUCCAGGAGUACUAUGAGAAAGUCGGGCUACCUGAACCGGCGGCGCCAGUCGACGAGGAAAUCGAGGCUCUCCUAGAGUUCCACGCGAUGCGACCAGAGAAGCUGCGCGUGCGCGCGCGCCACCGCCCAGAUGGGUCGGUAAACAUGGGCGAUGACCCGCACUUCUGGGCUCAGGCGCUACCAACGCGCAGCAUGGACGGGAGCAUGCAGCGUGGUUUGGGGUGGUCGCGGCGUACGACGAUGGGGGCCAACGGUGUACCUGUGGUGUAUCCGCACUGAGCAGCUGCGCAGAUGGGAGGUGUAUCUAGCGGCGGCAGUAGCAGCGUAUGAGCUCUGUUUAGCGGUGGCGGCGCAUCCGUUCGCGUACCGUGUUUAAGAAAAUGCCGGAACUGCGGGGCACUGCCCAGCGAAAGCUCCUGCGUCAUUGUGGCCAGCACGGCGAUGGCAAUGUUGCGCCUGUCACCGUCCGCACGUGUAGGUGUGUGCAGGUGUGUGUGUGUGUGUCCGCGUGCCACAAUCCAGGCUUGGAUCUUGCUGUUUCUUGCGCUGCCGGCUUUUUUUUCUCCUUUUCUCGCUUGGGGGGGGGGACGGCGGGGACGUGUUUUUCAAGCGGAAGAGGUGCGCCCUCUUUUUCUCUUACACAAAGCAAGGGCAACCGCCCAUGGCAACACCGGAAAGGCGCUGUUGGGCGCGUGGUGGCGACUCAGAGUUGGAGAGCCUCGUGUGCGCUCGUGCCCCUCCGAGGGGGUCUCCUCGACGUAUCUCAGCUAAAGGUAAGACAGGCGUGCUCUGAGCAUUAAACGUUCAGCGCACGCUGAUGCUCGUGCUUCUGUUUUCUCUGCGUUUG
rnacentral:misc_RNA from 1 species